CAUUCACCCUAGGGGUAACAUUAGCUCGCUGGUACAGUUGUCUUUGGUUAGCGAUUAGAUUCUCUGCCCGCCUCACCUCCCGACAAAACUCGGACAAAGUUUUAAGGCGAAUCGAGAACAUCAUUUGAGCUAAUGAUGGUUUUAAAUUCCCUGGCAUGAUUUCUACCAGUUGCUCCUCCGCAUAUGGGUGCUGCUGCUGGUUUUGGAGCUUUAUGACCGCAUUGUAAUAAUCAUCAAAAGCCUCUUGCGGUAACUGACGGCGAUUGAGAAUCUUCAUUUGUAUUUCGUGCUCUUGUUCGAAACGACGGUAUUGUGCAAGCAGGGCUUUCUCCAACUCCUCCCAGGUAUUAAUGUGGACAAUCUUCCGGUAAUCCCAGUACCAGUCUAGAGCGGGGCCGUCUAGAAGGAUAUGGAAACUCCUCAGGAUUUCAUCAUCAGAGCAUCCGUAAUCCCUCCUCAACGCUCCAACUCUAAAAAUGAAUUCUUGGACAUUCAUAGUUUUGCUGGUCCCAUCAAAUCUAACACCCCAUUUGGCUAAUUUAAACUUAUCCCAGGGCUCUUGAGGUCUUGGCAUGGACAUUGCCAAGUUGUAGUUUAAAGGCGGUGGCGGUUGCUGAGCGGGUGGCCCCGACCAAGUAUCCUGUGGAUACCCAGCCUGGGAUGCACUUUGCCGUUGGAAAUUGGCCUGUGGACCUUGCGGUGGCUACGGCCAUAGUUGCUGUUGCUGACUGAAAGCGUGAGCUGACGGAUGGACGUACGGCAACUGGUUUUGUGGUUGUGGCUGGUUAGGCUGUUGCGCUGGCGGUAGAUUCUGGGGGUUUCCCUGCGACCAAAGUUGAUGCGGCUGACUGUAACACGCCGCCGGCUGCUGGAUAAGCGGCAGAGGAUUUUGUUGCUGAAGCAGCGACUGCUGCUGCUGGUAUUGUGUCUGUACUGGAGGCGGUUGGAUGUUAGCCUCUACUAUUCUCGGCGCUGCUGGACCCACGGGCACAUAAUUUGGAGCUGGAAUCAGCGGUGGUGGCUGCUGGUAAGUUGGCGGGCCAAGCGGCGUUGCUGGUUGACCAUAUCCCGAUGGCCGUGCCUCCAAAGAGGUUCUGAGAGGCUGUGUAGUCGGCAUUCCUUGGCCGAUAGGGGACAUCUCGGUAGGCACUGGAGCCGCAUUACUCAUCGACAGCGACAAAAACAGCUGCUUCAUGUCAUCUAAUACUUUUUGUAUUUUGUUGUCGACCUCCUUCAUAAAUUGAACUUGGCGCAACCCCACCGAAGCAUCCACUAUAUUCUGGAUGUCAUUAACAUGGAUGGAAUUCUCCAUUCCUUGGCCAGCCAUACUCUCUCUCACCUCUCUACGUAUGUUCUGCGCUGUUUCGCUGAUGAAUGUCGGGGACACUACCGUCUGAUUUGCCCCGUCAGAACUAAUGGACAGAUCAUGGGAUGUUUGGGCACUAAUCAGUGGAUUGGAGUCGCUGGUUGAAGUUGUAGCUGUGGUUGUAUUGGUUGUGGGAACGGUGGAUGUCGUGAUAGAUGUGGUGGUUAAGGUGUCGAUACCACAAGUGACACUGCUUCCAGUCGUGGCCAUAGCGUUAUCUUGCCCUAUUAAACGACUUGCACGACGAGUCAACACCAUUAAAAACAAAUAAAAUUAAUGUAAAAUUCACUAUUGCAAAAAGGCUUGUAUAUAUUUAUAUUAAAAAAAAGGUUCGUGGUACAGAAUCUUUCGCAGCGUAGGUAUAGAAGAAAAUAUAAAACUAAAAGAUUUUCGACCUUUCACAAAAAAUAAAAAUGAAAAAUUAAAAAACUCAAAUAACUUGAAUGCUGGCGGCAUUUUCGGGUAAAUAAAAGUUUGCAGGUAAGAUUUCGUAAUUUACAUUGCUGAUUUGUGUAUAGAUAUGACCUAAUUCUUUUUCCUAUUCUGGUUUCAGGAGAUGCAGAGUACUAACAAAUAACAAAACAACAAAAGGAUGGACAAGAACCAACUGUCUUUCUACGUACGUACUAAUGAGGUGCAACUUGACCAGGGUUACGUUCUCCUAGUAAUCAAGGACUACCUUCCUAGACCUCCUGCAGAACUAAAACGUUCGCAAUAGACUGGACUAAUCUCCCAAGGAUCAAUGGUUAUUGACGACAGGUGGUGAACGUGCAGGUUUUCUGUCCGUCAGUAUUAGUUUGUUCGUGUAUUUCAGGUAAGUAUUGAAUAAUAUAUUAUAAUAACCUUUUAAAUAAUUUGUUUUUUUUUGUAUAUACUGGUUUCCGGCAACCUAUGAGUUCAAAUCUACCGCGGGAUUGUUCUUAACUAGGCCUGAGCUCAAUCCUAUCCUUACGCGCACGCCUGGUUCAAUUUUAACCAGCGGACUGGCUUCGAGCAACUAACGAAAGAAAUUAUCUAAAAGGACUGGUUCUGUUCGUCCUGUCGUUCGGGUAAGAGGUACACUUAUGUCGAAAACCUUAAUACCUGGACACCAUAGGACUGUUGGUGCGGAUCUGCUAGAGUAGUCCCACGCUGGAUGGAGCUGGCGAUGGCGUGACUCAGAGUUGCUGCUUUAGUAUUAUGUUUCUCGCUUUAUUUAGCUUUAAGAUUGAUUUAAUUUAGUUUAAAACUUUUAUGAAUAAAAAAACUUCCAGGUUCGCAAUAGACUGGACUAAUCUCCCAAGGAUCAAUGGUUAUUGACGACAGGUGGUGAACGUGCAGGUUUUCUGUCCGUCAGUAUUAGUUUGUUCGGGUAUUUCAGAUACUGGUUUCCGGCAACCUAUGAGUUCAAAUCUACCGCGGGAUUGUUCUUAACUAGGCCUGAGCUCAAUCCUAUCCUUACGCGCACGCCUGGUUCAAUUUUAACCAGCGGACUGGCUUCGAGCGAACGAAAGAAAUUAUCUAAAAGGACUGGUUCUGUUCGUCCUGUCGUUCGGGUAAGAGGUACACUUAUGUCGAAAACCUUAAUACCUGGACACCAUAGGACUGUUGGUGCGGAUCUGCUAGAGUAGUCCCACGCUGGAUGGAGCUGGCGAUGGCGUGACUCAGAGUUGCUGCUUUAGUAUUAUGUUUCUCGCUUUAUUUAGCUUUAAGAUUGAUUUAAUUUAGUUUAAAACUUUUA